UACGGGGGGGGGCAAGCGUUGUUCGGAAUUACUGGGCGUAAAGGGCGCGUAGGCGGCCAUUCAAGUGACGGGUGAAAGCCCUCGGCUUAACCGAGGAACUGCCUGUCAGACUGGAUGGCUUGAGACCGGGAGAGGUGAGUGGAAUUCCCAGUGUAGCGGUGAAAUGCGUAGAUAUUGGGAGGAACACCAGUGGCGAAGGCGGCUCACUGGACCGGAACUGACGCUGAGGCGCGAAAGCGUGGGGGAGCAAACAGG
rnacentral:rRNA from 1 species